AUCUAGCUGAUGAGUCCAAAAUAGGACGAAACGUGUGUUCCCAAU
rnacentral:hammerhead_ribozyme from 1 species